UACGAAGGGGGCUAGCGUUGCUCGGAAUUACUGGGCGUAAAGGGCGCGUAGGCGGCCUUCUAAGUCGAACGUGAAAUCCCUGGGCUCAACCCAGGAACUGCGUCCGAUACUGGAAGGCUUGAAUCCGGGAGAGGGAUGCGGAAUUCCAGGUGUAGCGGUGAAAUGCGUAGAUAUCUGGAGGAACACCGGUGGCGAAGGCGCAUCCUGGACCGGCAUUGACGCUGAGGCGCGAAAGCCAGGGGAGCAAACGGG
rnacentral:rRNA from 1 species